rnacentral:rRNA from 1 species
UACAGAGGUCUCAAGCGUUGUUCGGAUUCAUUGGGCGUAAAGGGUGCGUAGGUGGCGCGGUAAGUUGGGUGUGAAAUCUCGGAGCUUAACUCCGAAAUUGCAUUCGAUACUGCCGUGCUCGAGGACUGGAGAGGAGACUGGAAUUCAUGGUGUAGCAGUGAAAAUGCGUAGAGAUCAUGAGGAAGACCAGUGGCGAAGGCGGGUCUCUGGACAGUUCCUGACACUGAGGCACGAAGGCCAGGGGAGCAAACGGG